AAACAAAGGCAUUGAAAAACAGUGGAAAAUCCAGAUUCCUCAUCAGUUUUAAAGCAGCCGUCCUGGAAGGAAUGCAUUUCCUAUCAUUCCCCAUGAUGUUAGCAGCUUCCAAUGAUCUGAGAGGAUCUUCCCGACCCAGGGAUCAAACCUGCAUCUCCUGCAUUGGCAGGUGGGUUCUUUACCACUAAGCCACCAGCGAGACCCCUUCGACUAUGAAGCUGUUCUGUCUCUGUCUUGACAUGAAACCUGGAACUUCUCUGCCAUCCUGGGCCCCUGGAGAGUCAGGCUUCAUCGGGCGUGAGCAUCCGGUAACAUAGCCAGAAACCAAGCCUUGGGAAAUUGCUCCAGUGCAGAGAUCUGAAAGAGGAGACAGAACCAACAAAACGCAGAGAAGGAUUGGUCAGAUGCUAGGACGAUAAAGAUAAUCAAGUUAGCCUCUGAGACCAAGGUAUCGGGGAACUGAAAAGAAGACAGACACGGACAGGCUGGGCCAGGGUGAAACAUCCCAGUAGAGACAGAUUUGAGCUAGACCUUGGAGGGAGCACUGGGAGACAAUCAUUGUUUUGAACUAGCGCUUCAAAGAGCUGUACUGGACGGAAUUCCUGAGAUGAUUCUGGGGUCAGCAAAACGAUGUUUCUGAACUAUUAAACACAUUCUCUUCUAAAAAAGUAACAUUCAUAUUGGCCACGCAAGUCAUUCAAAAACCAGCCUCAAUACAGCUAUUAUUCAGAUUCACCCUGUCAGUGUGAGAAUAUGGGUUGAAAUGGACUUUGCUACUUGAAAUUAAGUGUGAUCACACUCAGCAGCCUUAGGAAGCUCUCCAAUUCAGACCUCAAUUACAAGAGGAUUGGAGCCAUGGGGAGCUGGGAGCAGCAUUCAGAAAAAGAGAAGGGUUUCUUUCUCUACGAUUUUCCCUGUUUGCAGCCUGAAUCCCAAGUGAAUGCUAUUUCUCUUCCAUCACUCUUUUUGCCUGCUUUCGGCAUUUUCCUCUCACUUUUCCCUCACGGUUAUCCCUCCCUUAAAGAGAGGGUCUGGACUCUUGGGUGAGAGCCACAUGUGACUCUGCUGAGCAGUUGGAAUUAACUAAAACUUACUCUUUCCCAAUAAAUCUCCCCCAAGCCACCACACAGCAGCUGUGAAUUCCCAGCAUGGGAUGUGGCUGAGGAACUAGCAAAAGCUGUGUUCCUCAACCUUGUUCAUCCUCUGGCCCAAAGAAUCAGCAGACAUUGACGAUAAUGCAAAGAAAACUACAUAGCUCUCUAAACACAACUCUUUAUCCAACCCACCUUGAAGACACGCUAUUUCUUCUGGGUGUGUGUGGAGGCGGAGUGGUACUGAGGAUGGAAGGAGUACAGAGAGUUACAGCAAACGUAUAAAGCAUCUACCAGCUAAUGAUGCCUCAGUUCAGUCCAGUCGCUCAGUCGUGUCCCACUCUUUGCGACCCCAUGAACCGCAGCACGCCAGGCCUCCCUGUCCAUCACCAACUCCCGGAGUUCACUCAAACUCACGUCCAUCAAGUCAGUGACGCCAUCCAGCCAUCUCAUCCUCUGUCGUCCCCUUCUCCUCCUGCCCUCAAUCUUUCCCAGCAUCAGAGUCUUUACUCUGCCAAAAUUGUGUUUAUUUGUUAAAAAUAUACUUCAUUGUAUUAUAGCAAAACUAAACCCCUCCCCAGUCCCUACCGAGACAGAAUGAUUGGGUUUCAGGGUGAGGUGCCAGCUAGUGUUUUGGGGGGUAUUAAUGUGCCAGCUGCUCCUGCAGUAUUCAUUUUAUUUCCAGUCCCCAGGCUGGUUUUACACGUUUUUUGUGUAAGGGAAUCAGGAUUAGGGAGUCUUUUGUUAGUGAGGGGGUGAGAGCGAGCAGCAUCACCUUUGAGCUCCGUACGCAGGGACAGCCUAGCAGGCAAGGCUCGAAGCUUUGAUUUACUUCUUGCUCUCUGACUUUUUCACAAAAAGAAAAGAUCUAUCACAUGGGGCUGCUCUGCUGGAAGCUUGUAUGGCAGUGGAUUGGGGUGACUGUUGCUUCCAAAUGCAGUUCACAGCCACCAAGCCAGGGUCACAUUGGAACUCUGUGCAGAUACAACGCUCCCAACCUGCUAAGAAGAAACGCUCCUAUAGGAAGAAAUGCUUCUUUAUUGCAUGGUGAAAGGCGCUAUUGGGUGGUCCUUGCCUGAGAGCUGAAAGAGCAUAUGGAUUCCCACUUGCUUCUCUGAAGGAGCUAACAUUAUUUUUACCCACUUGGAAACGCCGAGCUGCUACCCGCGUUCAGAGUCCCCCCUCACUGGCCAGCUUGUCCAAGUGCAGUGACCUGCUUGAACAAUGCCAGUGAGCUUCUCCUCCACUGAGCAAAUCGCACAGCCUCCUAAAGAAAGAGAGGCCUCUUUUAUGAAGCAACUCCUCUUAAGAUGGGAUUGUGAAACAGAUACACACAUGCACACGUCACACGACAUCGUUUUUUUGUGUGUGUGUGUGUUUGGUUGUUUUUAAGACUGGGGACAAAAUUACUAAGCAAAAUUUCCCAAUGAACACUUCUCUUAUUUUUAAGGACAGAGAAAGGCAAAGUGAAAAAGUAGCCUCGCUUAUCCUCCUUCCCUUCCCCCUCACAGCCCAGACUCAAAACACUCAUUCUGAGGAUGGAGCAGAGGUGGCAAAGGUCAAGAAAAUGGGGCCUUGUCUAUUUACCGGCUCUGUAAGGAACUAUUGUGGCGCAGCAGCUGUUCUUCUUGCUCCUUCGGAAGCCUGCCUGCAGUGGAUGCGGGGGAGGGAGGCUGUGACACUGGCAGGCAGGGCGUGUGGGGAGUAACAGCUAAUAUUUUCUGCACCUCAAGAAAGAUGGGCUUUGUUUCUUAAAAAGAGCAGAGAUACUGUUUCUGGGUAGCUGUUAUCAGAAACUGGUUUUAACCAAACACAGUUGGAU
ensembl:lncRNA